rnacentral:lncRNA from 1 species
CUAACAAUAGUAAGAAGCAAGAAAAUAAAAUGUUAUUGAGCUCUGAACAGAAUAUAUCAUAAGUUUGUUUGAAAAUUUGUGUCCUUACAAUGGUUGUUGGAAUCUUAUUUAUAGUGACACCUAGGGAACAAGGUCAUAGGAUUAAGCCCCUCUUAAAUGAUAAUUAUGGGGGCCAUUGAAGAAUGUGUAACGGCAGGCUAUGAAUGCCAUAUUCUCUUUAACGAAUUAUGUAUUUAAUACUGCAGACUAUUCUUCAUUGAAUGCUUAUCGGGUGACAGGUAUUCAUCUGUCUUCAUGAGCAACAUUCCCUCUGGGGGCUUCCCAGUGCUACUCGAGACUGCUUCCCCCGGUCUUGACUUCCACCUGUGUCGCUUUCCAUCUAUCUCUGGUUCCACGUGUCACUCUAUUAUACGAGCAUCUUAUGAACCGAUUUUACCCUAUACAAUAAGCAGCACUAGAUUCCUUCUGGAAAAAAAUAAUCUCAUUUGAAUACUUGCCAAAUAUAUUGUAAAUCAUGUAACAUUUCCAUCUUUCGCUUUGCCAUAAAAAUGAAUUUACAUCUUUUAUUAACCCUCUGUCCUUUAAAUCUACCACCUUGUGCUAAAAAAUAGUUUAAAGUGAUAAUCGUCAUGACACAAAUCUAAGUCGGAAAAAAUGAACAAAUAGCAACUUUCAAACCGCUAAUCGAUAUUUAGCCAUUAUUUCAAAACUAUUUAACAUUUAGACGCAUUUUAAUGCAGAAAUAAAAUUCGGACAAAAAAACUUGUAUGUAAACUAGCUAUAGAAAAACUCCAGUUCAAUGUGCUUGAUUUUGAAACAUUAAUAAGUGAAACUCCAACAUAUUUUAUUGAAAUUUGAAAAUCCCCUACAAGCGAUGUGCUGGAAUUUUGAACUUUUAAUAUAAGUGAAACUUCAGCAUAUAUGUUGGAGUUCUGCAAUUUCCAUUUGGAUAUUUUUUAAGAAGACAACAUCAGGGAUUCUUAGAAUUUGACCUAAAAAUUAACAUAGAAUCAUGUACUUGGCCAGUAUCAAUAUUUAGACAUCAUUUCAAAAUUAUUUAACAUAUAGGCGCAUUUGAAUGCACAAAUAAAAUUUGAAUAAAAAUACUAGCAUGUAAACUACAAAAAAGUCCAGCUCAAUAUGCUUAAGUUCGAAACAUUUACAAGUGAAACUCGUUGAAAUUCGAAAAUCCCCUACAAAUGAAACUCUAAUACGAUGUGGUGGAAUUAUGAACUUUUAUAAGUGAAACUUCAACGUAAAUGUUGGAGUUUAGCAAUUUCCAUUUGGAUAUUUCUCUAGAAGACAACAUCAUAUGUUCAACGAACUUGACCUAAAAUUUAACAUAGAAUCAUGUACCUGGCCAGCAUGCCAUGCCUCUAUUUACAUCAAACCAAGAUAAAUCUUGUGAAAAAUCUCCACGACUUCAUAUUGUGCCUAAAAUUAAAGAAAUGGACAUGAUCCAGAGCAGUGUGAGAUUUUCUCAAACAGAUUUACUCCUAUUGAUGAAUAUGAGAGCUAUUAAGACGACGCUUUCUAUGUUGAAAUAAAGAACCAGAUUUUGCUGUUAAUGGCAUUGAAAGGUAGGGUUGUAAGGAAUGCUGAAUAUUAGCGAGUGGUGGUUUUUGAUGUCGGAUAUGUCGUUGGAUUUUAGGGUUGAAUAUGGAACUUCUAUCAUUGUAGUAUAUGUUGGUUUUUUAAAGGGUAAAUGAGAAAUAAAGGGAUGUUAUUCUAUUCCGAAU